rnacentral:rRNA from 1 species
GACGAACGCUGGCGGCGUGCUUAACACAUGCAAGUCGAACGGACAGGCCCUGCUUUUGUUGGUUGCUCGAUUGGCGAACGGGUGAGUAACACGUGAGUAACCUGCCCUUGACUUUGUGAUAACUUCAGGAAACUCGGGCUAAUACCGGAUAUGAGCUCCUGCUGCAUGGUGUUGGUUGGAAAGUUUCGGCGGUUGGGGAUGGACUCGCGGCUUAUCAGCUUGUUUGUGGGGUAGUUGCUUACCAAGGCUUUGACGGGUAGCCGGCCUGAGAGGGUGACCGGCCACAUGGCGACUGAGAGACGGCCCAGAAGGCUACGGGAGGCAGCAGGGGGGAAUAUUGCACAAUGGGCGGAAGUGUGAGACAGCAAUGCCGGGUGCGGGAUGACGGCCUUCGGGGUGUAAACCGAUGUGGAAGGUGACGAAGCGGGAGUGACGGUAAUGGGUAAAGAAGCAACGGCUAACUACGUG